rnacentral:rRNA from 2 species
UACUGCAAGUCGAACGAACUCUGGUAUUGAUUGGUGCUUGCAUCAUGAUUUACAUUUGAGUGAGUGGCGAACUGGUGAGUAACACGUGGGAAACCUGCCCAGAAGCGGGGGAUAACACCUGGAAACAGAUGCUAAUACCGCAUAACAACUUGGACCGCAUGGUCCGAGUUUGAAAGAUGGCUUCGGCUAUCACUUUUGGAUGGUCCCGCGGCGUAUUAGCUAGAUGGUGGGGUAACGGCUCACCAUGGCAAUGAUACGUAGCCGACCUGAGAGGGUAAUCGGCCACAUUGGGACUGAGACACGGCCCAAACUCCUACGGGAGGCAGCAGUAGGGAAUCUUCCACAAUGGACGAAAGUCUGAUGGAGCAACGCCGCGUGAGUGAAGAAGGGUUUCGGCUCGUAAAACUCUGUUGUUAAAGAAGAACAUAUCUGAGAGUAACUGUUCAGGUAUUGACGGUAUUUAACCAGAAAGCCACGGCUAACUACGUGCCAGCAGCCGCGGUAAUACGUAGGUGGCAAGCGUUGUCCGGAUUUAUUGGGCGUAAAGCGAGCGCAGGCGGUUUUUUAAGUCUGAUGUGAAAGCCUUCGGCUCAACCGAAGAAGUGCAUCGGAAACUGGGAAACUUGAGUGCAGAAGAGGACAGUGGAACUCCAUGUGUAGCGGUGAAAUGCGUAGAUAUAUGGAAGAACACCAGUGGCGAAGCGGCUGUCUGGUCUGUAACUGACGCUGAUGCUCGAAAGUAUGGGUAGCAAACAGGAUUACAUACCCUGGUAGUCCGUACCGUAAACGAUGAAUGCUAAGUGUUGGAGGGUAUGCGGGGCGUCCCUGCUGCAGCUAACGCAUAAGAAUUCCGCCUGGGCGAGAGCGGCUGCUUGGCUGAGACUCAAAGGUAUUCGACAGUGACUCAGCACAACCCGGCUGGAGCAUGGUGGUUUCACUCAUAAAUACACGAA